rnacentral:lncRNA from 1 species
UUUUGGUCAACUGUUGACUUUUGAUCAACUUUUGACUUUUAGUCAACUUUUGACCAUUGACUCAAUUUUGGCUCUUAAAUCUUCCUAAACCUAUCCCACAUUCAUUUGAUCACAAGAGUUCAUAAUUUUACGAAAAAAUCGAUUAUGUUAUGAACAUGUUUCAUGAGAGAAUUUUCAACACUUUCCAUCCUUCAAACUCUUUUUCCAUGACUUUUUCUCC